CACACCGCCCGUCACACCAUGAAAGUUGGUUUCACCAGAAGUCGCCAAGCUAACCGCAAGGAGGCAGGCGCCCAAGGUGAGAUUAAUGAUUGGGGUG
rnacentral:rRNA from 1 species